rnacentral:rRNA from 1 species
GACGGGGGAUGCAAGCGUUCUCCGGAAUCACUGGGCGUAAAGCGUCUGUAGGUGGUGAUGCCAGUCACUGGUGCAAAACUCUGGCUCAACCGGAGGAAAGCCAGUGAAACUGCAUGACUAGAGUGUGGGAGAGGUAGAAGGGAUUCCCUGAGUAGCGGUGAAAUGCGUAGAUACAGGGAAGAACACCGGAGGCGAAAGCGUUCUACUGGAACACAACUGACACUGUGAGACGAAAGCUAGGGGAGCGAAUGGG